rnacentral:lncRNA from 1 species
CCCCUACACCUACUCAACCCAUUACUAAGCCAAUUAUAUCUUGCAACGCCCAACACCAAACCUAUCCACCCUGCCUAAACUCUGCAUGGUAGUAACUAUAACCUCUCAAAACCAACCACCACUAAAAUUAAUCCAAUUGAGGAACAAUAUAUGGUGAUGUAGAACGAGGUAGAGAGAGAGAGAGCGCUUUUGAUUGCAUGCAGAAACAUGUACGAUAAUGCCACCAUAAUAUCCAUUGCACAUGUUGUGAUAUGAAAGAGGGAAAAAGGAGGAAAAAUAAAAUUAGAUUGAUUGUGUGGGUGGUAAAUGUUUGUGUGUGAGAGAGAGACAGUGUCUUUCCCUCUAAUUAGCACUAGGGUUUUCAAUCAAAUUGAUCAAUCAAUGCCAAAUUAUGCCAAAUUUUCGACAACCAUGGAUAAUUAGUGUGUGCUUGUAGGGGCAAAGAUCCAAGCUUCCCUCCUAAGCUAAACUACCAUUCUCGUAAGCUACUGGCGUGAGAGAGUCGCUGCAAUUGCCAAGGGGUUCUAACAGUUGCCAGUAAGAGCAAAGGAGGAGACAAAGGCUAGAGUUGCAACCAUGGCCUGUAUAUUGAUGAUGGGGUUGUGAUGGGUUGACUAGUUGUAGAGGCGCUAGCAUAGGAAACGGGGGAGUAGAGAGAGGGCAGAUAGGAAGGUUUAGCAAGUGGCGAAUUAGCGAGGGUGUCAGUGUCUGUGUUGAUCUAUUUGGGUGGCGAAGGUGUUGAUUUGGGAGGUGGGGAGAAGAGGAUGGAGUGGGGGUAGUUGAUUGGGGUAGGAGGAGAGACAGAGGGAGGAAGAGUAGUAAAUUUUCAAUGCAAAGGUAGACCUCGUGGCAGAGGGUUUCUGGACUCACCUCGAACUGUGAGUCCCGAACCGGGUUAUCCCGUAUCUACCCACUGCAACCGCCACUGCAGGUUUCUAUUUUGGAUUUCUUCUCUCUCCAUUUUUCUUCCAAACACCCCACAACAUGAAUUCGUAUACGUGAAGGCAGUGCUCAACCUGAUAACCACUCAAAUCGACAAGGGUAGGGUGACGAAGAAGGCAGAGCUCACGAAAGUCCUCCAAAAACUCCUUGGCCCGUCUCAUUUAAGAGCAAUAACCUACCAACAACAGCAACCCAUUUUAUCUACCAAACAAAGUGCUCGACUUCAAGUAUAGGAGAUUAAGAUAAAUGAGGAAAGUUUGUAACUUUUUUCUAAUCACCCAUAAAAAAGGUGAAUCAAA